UUCAACAACACAGUAGAGAUUGAAUAUAUAAAUAAGUUUAAGAAGGACUAAGUUACUAUAGGCACAAUCCCUAGUGCAUACUUAAAACAGGCAAAAUUUCAGGGAUGACGGGGAAGAUAGAGCUUACUUUUUGCAGUUGAUGUCAUGAAAUUCACCUGUACUUUCCAGGCUUGUUCAUUAGUUCCUCAGAAGGUCAGAAUAUAGGCCCAACAAGUCUUCUGAGCCUGGAGGACACCUCUUAUGCUUCUGUAAACAUUCUUCCUUCAUAUUCCAUCUCCUGUCCCAGCCACUCUCCACUCCAGCUCUGGGUUCUGAAGAAGAAGAAGAAAAAGAUAAAAAGAAUGGAGUAAAGUUACAAGGAGGGAAAAGAGAGAGACAUUUUCUUAACCUUUUGGAUGUCUGCAGCCAAGACUCUGCAGGUGAUGAAGGAAGAGGAGGUGGCAGCGCAUAGGAGUGCAUUAAUAUCAGUUCACCUUGUCAGUAUAGCUACAGUGGCUAGACCAUGAGCUCUGGAGUUGGACAGCCUAGAUCAACAUCCUGGAUCCUCUUCCUACCUGUGUGUCCUUGGAUGGGGAAACCAAGAAACUGAGAAUCAAAGAGGUUAAAUGACUUAAGAAAGAUUUCACCUCUAGUUAGAGGCAGAGACAAAUCUAGAAUUUUUCCUGAUUCUGAGUGCAAUGCACUUUCCUGACCUUCACUCAACCUGAGUUUGAUCUUACAGAGGAAGUCUUUGAAGACCUGCUGGGACAAUUGUUUGUUUCCCACAGAAUUCUGCGGCUAGCUCUAUUUCCUUAAUCCUGAAAUUCCAGCUCAGUACUUAUUUUCCAAACCUGUCACCAUUAACUUGAUUUUCUUCCUUUCCUCUUCCUUGCUCCCCAUCAUAUGUAAACUCUGAUUUAUAUCUGACCAGGAAACACACUCAAAAUAUAUUUCUCAAGUGUUUACCCAAUGGUGCCCCAGGCAAUACCAAUAAUGAUGAGCUAAACAAUCAUAUAUUAUUGUCUGUGAAUAUUUACUUUGUGACAGAGUCCUAAUCCUCUCCCAAAUGGUUAGCAAAUUCACUGAAAUUAUUUACUGGAAGAAUUCUAAUUUUUCAAAUAAUUCUUCUUUAUCUAAGUCCCACAAUUAUCUUCUCUUAUCCAGCUUCCCCCAAGCCCCACUUCAGACCUUACUUACUGAAUUUUUUCUAGCUCUUUAACCUCUCUGUAGUACUUCAUCCCUUAAUGCUUUUGUUCUUACUGAUUAUUUUCUCCUAAAAUAUAUCCAUCAUCCUAUUUGUUUAUACAUUUAUUAUAGAAUGCAUUUUCUAAACACUUGUGUUAGGAAUGAGGCUAGGUGCUGGUGUGGUCAUCAGCAAAGUACACAGUCCAUGAACUCAUAGCAGGUAGGAUACAGACAAAUGAAAUGGCAAUUAUAAAAGCACAUGAAAUAAGUGCAACAAUUAGAUAAGUGUAGAUACGUUGUUGGGAGAAACACCUAAGACGGCCUUUGUGGAGGGAAUCUGUUUGUGUGUGAAAUCAUGGCUUGUCCAUCAUUGUAUUGGCUGGGAUUGAUGAGCAAAUGAUAUGUAAUACACACUCAAUAAAUGUUGGUAGAACUAAUAAGAAUGAUCUGUGGUGAAAUGACUCCUGAGACAGUGACUAUGUUCUCUUUACUUCCAGGUCACUUUGCAUCGUAAACACUUAAUGUCUCUCUAGAUAGAAUUAAUCAGAGAGUGGUAGAAACUAUUAACACCUGGAUACUUCAGUUUUAUAAACUAAAAGCUUUUGAGUUAUUUUACCCAUUGAAUGAUCUUUAUUGCCUGCUCAGACUGAGUAAAUUCAAGCACCUGAAGGAUAAAUGAAAGUUUAUCCUUUAGAUAUAACAGGUUUGCAUCCUGGCUCUGCCAUUUAUGAGUAUUGACUUGAGGUUCAUUAAUUAAGCCCUCUAAGCCCUAGCUGUUAAACGGGCAUAAUCAGGAUACGUUGAAGGAAUUAAAAGUAAUAACAUGCAAAGGAACUGAAACAGUGACUGCUACACAGUAAACACUCAAUAAAUGUUAAUCCUCUUUGCAUCCUCCUCUAAACCUUUGAUAAUAUAUAUUUAGCAUAAUAUUUUGGAAUAUCUGAAAGUAAAUGAAAUUAUGCACAAGUAAUUGAAUUUCUAUUCAUAUUUUUGCAUAGUAGUUACUAUCUGGAUACUAGGCUGAAAAGAAUAAAAAAUUGGAACUCUUUAAGUAAAUGCGCUUUUCUGUCUCUUAUAUACAUCCAGUUGGCUAUUGAAACAACAUGGGAGAAAGGCAGGCAGAAGCAAGAUACCCCAUCCACUUACCUUAUUUUUUCUCUACAUGAAAUAAAUGAUUUAUAUUGAGUUUCUGGAUUUUUAAAGUUACCUUUUUUUGUUUUUUUCCUGGAGUCUCACUCUGUUGCCC
rnacentral:lncRNA from 10 species